rnacentral:rRNA from 1 species
UGUGCCUACGGGAGGCAGCAGUGAGGAAUAUUGGUCAAUGGCCGGAAGGCUGAACCAGCCAAGCCGCGUGAGGGAGGAAGGCGCAGAGCGUCGCAGACCUCUUUUGCCGGGGGACAAAAGGCCGGACUCGUCCGGUCCUGAGGGUACCCGGAGAAAAAGCAUCGGCUAACUCCGUGCCAGCAGCCGCGGUAAUACGGAGGAUGCGAGCGUUAUCCGGAUUCAUUGGGUUUAAAGGGUGCGUAGGUUGUUUUAUAAGUUAGCGGUGAAAUACCGAUGCUCAACAUCGGGGCUGCCGCUAAUACUGU